rnacentral:rRNA from 1 species
GACGAACGCUGGCGGCGUGCUUAACACAUGCAAGUCGAACGGAAAGGCCCUGCUUUUGUGGGGUGCUCGAGUGGCGAACGGGUGAGUAACACGUGAGUAACCUGCCCUUGACUUUGGGAUAACUUCAGGAAACUGGGGCUAAUACCGGAUAGGAGCUCCUGCUGCAUGGUGGGGGUUGGAAAGUUUCGGCGGUUGGGGAUGGACUCGCGGCUUAUCAGCUUGUUGGUGGGGUAGUGGCGUACCAAGGCUUUGACGGGUAGCCGGCCUGAGAGGGUGACCGGCCACAUUGGGCCUGAGAUACGGCCCAGACUCCUACGGGAGGCAGCAGUGGGGAAUAUUGCACAAUGGGCGGAAGCCUGAUGCAGCAACGCCGCGUGCGGGAUGACGGCCUUCUGGUUGUAAACCGCUUUCGCCUGUGACGAAGCGUGAGUGACGGUAAUGGGUAAAGAAGCACCGGCUAACUACGUG